UACGUAGGGGUCGAGCGUUGUCCGGAUUUAUUGGGCGUAAAGGGUGGGCAGGUGGCCGGUGAUGUGCCGUGUGAAAGCGCCGUAGUUAUGACGGCGAGGUCGCGGUAGACACAUCGGCUUGAGGCAGUGAGGGGGCGGUGGAAUUCCCGGUGUAGUGGUGAAAUGCGCAGAUAUCAGGAGGAACACCGAUGGCGAAGGCAGGUCUCUGGGCCGAUACUGACGCUGAGGAGCGAAAGCGUGGGGAGCGAACAGG
rnacentral:rRNA from 1 species